AACAGUAUCAGGGGGUGGACCGUCUGGUGGAAGUGGGUCUGUCCAACGAUGACGGAGAUGAACUUCCUGAUGACAAAAGUGUGUCAUCGGAUGAUGGACUGUCCGGCGACGAUGAAAAUUUGUUGAUGUCUGACAGUGAAGGUUCCCGUACCCAAGAGUGGUGAUCCAUCACUUCGAAAAACACGUGAAAGCACUUCUGGAGGAGCACAUGAAAUUACAUUCACCAAUUUCCCCAAGGCAAUGGGGCUUUAUGUCGUCACGUUCAACUGUGUCAGCUCUCAUUCAAGUGAUUGAUGACUGGAGCAGGGCUGUCGACGGGGGAUAUGAGGCAGCCAUCGUUCCAAUCCUCUAAAUGUGAAGUUCAUUGCCUGGCAACUGAGGGACAUUUUUCUUAUUACAAGAAUUUUAGAAGGCCAGCGAAUAUGUAGGUCCUUUGUUUCUUAAAGAUGAAGAUGUCAUCAAAGUAAGGUCCCUGUUGGGACACAGUGCCUGCCCCAACCACCCCCAAUCUGCUUUUCUGAUCUAUUAUAAUCGAUAAUUAGAAGGAGAAAUGGAUGCAUUAUAAAAUGUGUAUAUAUGGCCAGAGAAAAGACAACAAGGAUGAAUGGAGUAUAUCUAUAGUAAGUGCGCAGUAUCUGGCUGGACCAGCUAGUCACACUAUGAUUAUAAUAUAGUAUCUAUACUGAGAGGAGUGUCACUCCUGUAUAGAGAUAAGAGAUGCCAAGAGGCAGCAAUAUGCUACCGUGAGGUAACGGCCCCAAUCCAGGAAUUAAUGGAGCAGCUGUGCGCUCAAGUAAGUACAGUGUACAGAGAGAAAAGAUUCCAAGAUGCGACAAUGCUAGACGUAGCUAUGAAAAAUAAUGGUUCGUUGUGGAUGCUCAUUUGAGAUUAUAGUAUGGCAAGUGGCAUACCACGGUCUUAUGACGACAGUAUAGUAAUUAUAGUAUGACAUUUUGAAAGGAAAAAUUUAUUUUACAACACAAGAAUUUUAGAUGGCCAGCGCCAAAGCUCAAAAGCUCAAAAGGAAAACAGGAGUACCUGUUUUACAUGUGCUCACUCGCCACUUCUGCGGUAGGUGAUAUUCUCACACUCGACAUGUUUAUUAAAUUGACAGUGAUGGUCUGUAUGACACUGUGUAUUAUACACCUGUGCAGGUCCUUCGUUCUCUGAGAACUAUUAUGAAUACAAGGCAGUGGUUUUGAAUGGUCGUCGCCUGGUCCCUCCACCCCAUCAAGUGUGAGCAUUAGCAGUUUUCACACUGUUUUUCCCAAUGUAGGCAUUGUCAUUUUUGUGUCGAAGCCCUCAUACGAUAAAACAGUUUAACAGAUGUGAGAGAUAGGAAUAACUGGACUCUUCUUCACUCAUACUCUGAUGAAUGUAACUAAUCAUAAGUUUAAAAUAAAAAUGAAGAGACAAAUGUUCUUGAAGCAGUCAAACGCAAACAAAAAAAUCAUGCGUGUAUAUACGUUUGUUGUGGGUUUAUGGUUUACACACACAUUGAGUGUCAGUGAACACAGAUAUGCACAGUUGUGCACAUUAAAACACACUAAAAAUUACCAGUGAAAAGUAGUGCACUAUUUAACACACCAUUUUAACAAUGUAUAUAGUGCAACAAGGCAUACACUGCAAAAAAGGCUUCUUUAAAACAAAAUAAUAAUUAUUAUCAUUAUUUUUAUAAAAAUGGAUGAAUGGAGUAUAUCUGGAUGCGAUACUCAUUCAUAAAGAUGAAGAUGUCAUCAAAGUAAGGACACGGUGCCUGCCCCAACCACCCCCUGAUCUAGAAGGAGAAAUGGAUGUGUCCAGACAAUAUGUGCUAACUGUGAGAAAAGCUCUGUCAAGUGUCCCGAAUGUCCCGAAUGUACAUGUGAGCACGUGAAUCCCUUCAAUAAAAAAAAACAGUACAAGUAUUAUGCAGAAAAGGGCAACUGAAGAAAAGAGAGGUCAGUAAGGACAACAGGAACAUACAAGAAGAAGAAGCAGCCUCUAUACAUCAACAGCUACCGGACGGGCUCCAGAAGGCAGUGGAGCUAUCCAAGACAAAAGGAGCCUCCACUUGGCUCACGGUUCUCCCACUAUCGGAACAUGGAUUCACACUACACAAGUCGGCCUUCCAAGAUGCCCUAGCACUACACUGUAAAAACGGAGGUGGGAAAGUCCCACCAAUGUUCAGUCACACCAUGGGUGUAACGUCACACUUGCAUCAAAUGGUGGGAUACUCCCACUCCAUGUCUGGUGUAAACACUUCUAGAGUGUUUCUGAAGAUGUUUCCACCAGUACCAAGGAUGACAGUGGAUUGGCUUAUAGCAGCUCAGGUGUUGAUGUCGAAGACAAUACAGUUAGUAUAUCACUCCAUAUGGCGUAUGUUUUUUACAGAGUGACAGUGGUAAC